rnacentral:rRNA from 1 species
AUUGAACGCUGGCGGCAUGCUUUACACAUGCAAGUCGAACGGUAACAGGGUGCUUGCACCGCUGACGAGUGGCGAACGGGUGAGUAAUGCGUCGGAACGCACCGAGUAAUGGGGGAUAACGCAGCGAAAGCUGUGCUAAUACCGCAUACGCUCUGAGGAGGAAAGCGGGGGACCUUCGGGCCUCGCGUUAUUCGAGCGGCCGACGUCUGAUUAGCUAGUAGGUGAGGUAAGAGCUCACCUAGGCGACGAUCAGUAGCGGGUCUGAGAGGAUGAUCCGCCACACGGGGACGGGGCCACGGCCCAGGCUCCUACGGGGGGAAGGAGUGGGGAAUUUUGGACAAUGGGCGCAAGCCUGAUCCAGCCAUGCCGCGUGUCUGAAGAAGGCCUUCGGGCUGUAAAGGACUUUUGUCAGGGAGGAAAUCCUUAGCGCUAAUACCGUUGAGGGAUGACAGUACCUGAAGAAUAAGCACCGGCUAACUACGUGCCAGCAGCCGCCGUAA